UUUGUCUGUAAAGCCUUUUAGAAAUCAGCGCCACAGAUGGCAUAACCUUGUCAACUUGUAUUAAGUACUGUAGAAAUGAUGUUCUGUACAUGAACACACUUAUCUGCAUUUCUACAUACCUGUUUAAUUGCCUAGCUGAAGUUUAGAGAGGGUUAACUGAGUAAGCAGAUAGGAACCGCAGGGCCAGUAGUGAGGUCUUUGUUUUCAUCGUGCAAUUAUCAGAUAUGGCAUGUUUGCCAUAAGGGCUGUGAAAAGUGUGAUGUGAGAUGUAAAGCUGUCCCACUGUGCUAAUAAUAAAUUGGCUACAGUAAUAUUUAUCAAAAUGUCUGUCCUAUGAUGAUUUUCUGUGUUGCUGCCGGCUUGAGCUUAAUCCUGCCAAUCAAGUUCUCCACCCCAGUGUUCCCGUAGUUCCCGCUGCUCUGACUGCACUGAAUAAUCUUCUCUCUGCAUUGUUUUCAUAAAAACAGUUGCAAAGCAAUAGAAAUAAUUAGACAAUGUUCUAUAUCAUCCUCCGGCCUCCUUCUCUGAUAAAAUGAUAGCUGCUGGCCCUGCAGAUAUUCAGGAAUCCUUUCAACAUUCCAACAGGACUGAGAGGUAUUAUUCUGUACCUGUAAAAAUAAAGAACAUCAUAAAAAGUAAAGGCCAGAGUUUAAAACAAGAAUUUGAAGUGCCUAGCCUUUGAAAACCCAUGUGGAGAUCUUCACUGAAGAUGCUGCAGAUUCAUGCCAGGAGUUAAAUCCAAAUCUUCCCUAAGUGCCGGUGCAGUUCAGUCAUGGCAAAAAUGACUCUAUAAACCUGUCUUUUUUCCCUUUUUUUAGUGUCCCUUUUAGGAUUGUUCUGCAGUGUGCUUAACCGGGAUCUGAAAGAGCAGUAGUGGGUAGAAACACUCGGCUCCGGGCACUUUGCAGUCACAGCGCAAAAGUGGUUGUAUUUAAGUGUGCUUAUUGUAUUCAUAAAUUACUCUGUAUUGUGUUUCAUUGAAUCAUUGCCUGGUUUGAGUUGGAAGGGGCCUUAAAGAUCAUCUGAUGUUUGAUCAACCUGUGCGUCUUUCACUUGUGUUUAGAGCUUGUUUUCCAGGAGAGUGGAUUUAGGGAUAUUUUGGAACAAACUGACGUGUUAUUCCUCCUGCGUUUUAAACCACAGCUAUGCGAUGGCAACUUCCUGUGACAGCAUUUUGUUAUCCUAAGUGUUUCCCUCUCCACCACCACCCACCACUUAUUACAUGAAGAUAUCACUUCUGCUUUCAGGACCUGAUAACACCUUGAAUGUUAGGCUUUAUUAUGUUUCCAAAGAUGUAUUGCUGUAUGUCUGCCAGUAAAACUUCUCAGCUCCACAGGAAGGUCUUUGUGUUUGAAAUGCUCCGUUAGAAUGUUUUUGGAGAACAUCUGUUGUCACCCCAUCAAGAAUUGUUUCCUUUGCUCCUCAAGAGUAUAUUCAGUUCUGUUUGCUUACACAGCUAUGUCUACUCAGUCUCCUUGCAUCUCUUCUCCAUGUUUUGGGGGUUUUAUUUUUAGAUUCAUUAGGUGUUUAGUCCAUUCCUGUUGCUUGCUCUGCAGUUUUGAAACCUGUUUCCUCCAGAAGAGGGUGUCUAAAACAAUAAGAUUGGGUGCUUAAGCACCCAGUUGGGGAAAUGCCAGAGGCAAGAUCAUGCAAGUAACCAUGCACUUUCAUAGGACUGUCACUAACUGUGUGAUUGCCUUUUAUUUCACCCACACAUCAUCCAGUCUUUCAAUCUCAGUGUUGUCUCAUCCCAAACUACUUUCCCAUUUGCAUUAUUAUCAACGGUGACUGUAUGGUUUCUUAAAGAAAAAUGCAUCAUUUUAAUUCAUUUAGAUCAUGCUUUUUAACCAGCUACGAUGUUCUGGGUUCAGCCUGCAUCAGUCUGCAAAAGGGUGGAAUGUAAGAGAUUGUUGUUUGCAUCUUCUGCUUGAAUCUGAGGAGAAAAAAUAGCUUAACUUUAGGCAUCUGCUUAAGUGUUUUGCUAGACUGAAAUUUGAUCAAGACUCUUCCCACUUUCUCUCUGUCAAUCCAUCUGUGUUUCCCACAGAACCUUCUAAUCUCUGAAUUGUAAGAGGAAAUCGCAUUUUGCAUGGAACCCUUAGUACUGAGCGUAAGAGGCUAAUAAUAUUUGAAACAGCUCUAUGACAUCCUGUGUGUCCAAACUUCCUCUUUUCACUUCAGAGAUGCUUUUUGUUGGCUUUUGUUCAUCUCUCAGCUCUGCUCGUUCAUUAUCGGCCACCUUUGGACAUCCUGCAGCAAGUUCCCAAGUACUUCUAGGGGGAGCUGGGCUCUUCAGUGCUGAAUCAAGUAUGUAGAAAUGUCAUGGCAUCAGGUCAGGGAAUCUUUUAUAUAUAUAUGAAGCAAAGACACAUUGGGGAGCACUAGAUGUCAAUAAAGGGAGGUUGUAGGCUUCGGUUUCUGCAGAGUUAUGUCUGAAACUUAAACUACGUUGCCUCUUUGCCUUUUGCUUCCUGAAGGUGGAGCCAAACCCCCUAUCAGAUCUCCAAAUCUUCUGAAGUUGUUCUUUAUGGUACAGCAGAGACUUAGCACUCCGGUAUUUUUCCUUGCACAACAGAGAAAACUGGAAAGUGGAUGUGAGGAUUCUGUCCGGCCAAGAUACAUUUUGCACUACGCUCACUCUCUAGAUCUGAGACUGUAGCAAAGGAAACGAAAGGAAAUACAAGAAUACAAAGGGCAGUCUCAGUGCUGUUUGCACCGUGUGUAGUGAAUAUCUAGUUCCAAAAACUCCCAACAAAAUAAAGUUUUUGAAAAAUUCUGCUUGUCUUAAUACAAAUUCCAUGCUUUUCCCAGUAUUUCUGAGUCUUACUCUUUGUGCUUCAUUAUAAUCUCAAACAUACUCAGGCACUGAUAAUUCUCCAUUAUACAUUUGAAUGGCUGCUUUCAAGACUGCAGUGCUCUCUCUGAGAAGCACAGUUCCGAGGCUCUGCAGAUGCAUAUGACACAGCAGAAUUUUAGGCAGUAUAAAAAUUAUAAAGAUCAGUUUCCAUUACUGUAAUUACUAUAUAAAUCCUAUCUUUAAGAGGCUUAGAACAGGCCUGUUUAACCUUGGUUUGAGCUGAGGCUUGGUCCAAGUCUGAUAAGUUGAUCACCAUUUUUUCUCUUUUUCUUUAUCUCUUUUCUCUGCAGCAUCAUAACUUAGUGGGCAGUGGGGUGGGGAGAGAGAAGGGAUCCAGCACAUCCUCUGCACUCUGGCAGAGUGGUGUGUGUGUAAUCAAGCAGUAUACCUGUUCCCAACCAACAGCAAGCCUAAAUGAGAUGUGCAUUUUGUUACAUCUGAGAAGCACCGUUUCUCCCCUUGGAACCUGUGGUACUGCAGAGCAGGUGUGUGAGAGGGCUCGGAGGCAGCCCAUCCAUGGAGUGCAACUAGAAGCACCUGGGUAAACCAUCAGAUCCUAAACUCUUUGGAGGGCUGUAGAGGUAAUUCCCAUCAUUUGCACCACCUCGAUGAAAGCAAAGGUGUUGGCUUGCCCUGGUACUUCCCCUUUGUGUACCUGAGAUGCCCAGAGCUGCCUCCAGCUGCCUUUUAGGUCAAAGCAUUCAAUGCUGAGAAAGAAGUUGGCAGCAUAACAUGCAGAGGUUGGUGUUACCCUGCUCCAUUGCUGAAGCAUGCCAGACUUAGCUGUAGGCCAGGAAGCAGCUUCAAUAUGAAUACCCAUUACUUGCUCAAAAGAAACCCUGCCACAGUGUUUUCCAUGUCAUGAACCUGGUCUGCGGUGGGUGCUUUGCCUCCUAGCCCUUCAGGACUGUAGGAAUGAAGUUAUUAAUGUAUACUGUUUCCUUUACACAGAGCCUUCUUCAAAGUUCCUUGGAUUUACUGUAGGGAAAACAUGGCGAGAACAUGUAAGAGGAGAUCCCAGCCUGCAAAGAACUGACUGAGUGUUCACCUUGAUCCUGACGAGGCUGCCCACCAUAUGGAUUGUGUUGGCAGAGGCAGAAGCCUGGGGAAUGCAGAGGUGAACAAAGAUAAGACUACCCUUAAAAGCUGUUGUGAUGGUGGAGAACAAAGGCGGGUGUACACAGUGGAUGGAAGAUAACAAUCCAUGUUGUGCACUUAAGGAGGAA